CAGAACGAACGCUGGCGGCGCGUCUUAAGCAUGCAAGUCGAGCGUGAUGAAUAGCUGCAUUCAUGAAAGCGGCGGACUGGUGAGUAACACGUAGAUGACGUACCCUCUAGCCGGGGAUAGCCUGUAGAAAUACAGGAUAAUACCGGAUGUGGUCCCGUAGUUUAGAAGUACGGGAAGAAAGGAACUGUAGUUUCACUAGAGGAGCGGUCUGCGGCCCAUCAGCUGGUUGGCGGGGUAAAGGCCCACCAAGGCGAUGACGGGUAUCCGGCCUUAGAGGGUGAUCGGACACAUUGGGACUGAGAUACGGCCCAGACUCCUACGGGAGGCAGCAGCUAAGAAUAUUCCGCAAUGGACGAAAGUCUGACGGAGCGACGCCGCGUGGAUGAUGAAGGCCGGAAGGUUGUAAAAUCCUUUUAUACCAGAGGAAUAAGCGGAGUGAGAGAAACGCCCUGUGGUGACUGUAGGGUAUGAAUAAGCACCGGCUAAUUACGUGCCAGCAGCUGC
rnacentral:rRNA from 1 species